GUGCUCGCUUCAGCAACACAUAUACUAAAAUUGGACUGAUAUAGAGAAGUAGCAUGGCCCUUGGGCAAGGAUGACACGCAAAUUCACGAAGCGUUGCAUAAUUUU
rnacentral:snRNA from 1 species